GUACACGCUGUGACUAGCAUAUCAAUAAGCGGAGGAAAAGAAACUAACAAGGAUUCCCCUAGUAACGGCGAGUGAAGCGGGAAGAGCUCAAAUUUGAAAUCUUAAAGGGUUUCCCUUUACGAAUUGUAGUUUAAAGAAGUGUUUUCUGUUGAGGUUUUGGUAAAAGUUCUUUGGAAUAGGACAUCAUAGAGGGUGAGAAUCCCGUAUUUGACCUUUACUUUCAACUUUGUGAUACACUUUCAAAGAGUCGGAUUGUUUGGGAAUGCUAGUCCAAAAUGGGUGGUAAAUUUCAUCUAAAGCUAAAUAUUGGCGAGAGACCGAUAGCGAACAAGUACCGUGAGGGAAAGAUGAAAAGAACUUUGAAAAGAGAGUUAAACAGUACGUGAAAUUGUCAAAAGGGAAGCGUUUGACACCAGUGUUGUUUUUCUGAAAAUCAAUUAAAGAACUGUUUAUGCUAAGCUGUUUAGACUUUAUCAGCUAUCUGUUUAGUUUUGAGCUUUUCUUUAAUGCACUUUUCAGUUAACAAGUCAACAUCAAUUUCUUUUGCUGUAAAAAAGCUUGAGGAAGGUGGCUUGAGAUUCGUCUUAAGUGUUUAUAGCCUCUUGCCUAUGCAGUCGGAGAGAUUGAGGUCUGCAGCGUAGGAUCCUUCGGGGCUAAAUGCAUUUGUGCUAAGUUAUAGCACUUUAUAGACAACUUGUUGACUAUGAUUUGUCUUGUAGCUUACUCGCUUAUGUUAUUUUACCUACGCUUAGGAUGUUGAUAUGCAUGACUGAUAU
rnacentral:rRNA from 1 species